rnacentral:lncRNA from 1 species
UGGGACCACAUGCUCGACAGUUGCACCUGAAUCACCUAUAACAGAGAGGUAAAUGAACAGCAUUGGUAAGAUAAUUCUAGACUGAUACUCUGCCAUUCUAAAUACUUAUCUGCGGUUAAUUACUCCCCACUGACUCAAGCAUCGAAGGAUCUCCAUUGGAUAUAAUUUCGAUCAGUGUAGACUUCAUUUUGCAGGUGCUCUUCACCGACAAUAGGCACAACAGG